UUGAAAUGGGGUUCUGUAUUUUCUUUGUUUCUUGAGGUUGUUUUUCUUAAUUGACAAAAGAUAUGGAAAUACUAGAUUGUGGGGUUUGUUUUGUGCUUGAAUUUUGGACUUUUCUUCUCUUUUUGAGUUUGUUUUAUUGUUCUUUUAGUUAUUCUGAAACCUGAAUGGAAGUAAAUAGCAACAAUUAGGGAAAGCCUUAUUCCUUUUUUGAGUUUCUGUAGUAAGUGAUGAUAAAUAUAUUACUGAAAGUUGAUUUUAUAACUAGAUUGCGGGUUUGUUUUGUGCUUCAAGUUUUGACUUUUCUUCUCUGUUUGAGAUUUAUUUUCAUGGUCUUUUAGUUAUUCUGAAACCUGAAUCAAAGUAAAUAGCCACAAUUAGAGAAAGCUUUGUAUCUUUUUGGAGUUUUUGUAGAUAAAUGGUGAUAAAUACAUUUCUGAAAGUAAUUUUUAUUGGACUUUAGUUGUUUGCUUUGAUAAAAAUUGCAUCUCUAAGGAUUUCGAACAAUUAGAUCCAAAAGAGGAAAAGAAAAAAACGGAUUUCAACUAUUAGUUAUUGUUUUUGUCCUUUUUUCUUUUCUGAAUAUAAAUUGCUAAGUUGUGAGAUUUAGAAUUUCGAGUUCUUAUGUUUCUUUUAGAGUACUAGGAUGAACUUCAUAGAUCGGAUCAUCAUAACACAUACUCACUGUGGUGGUUGAAGUAAUAUUUUUUUAGAGUUGUUGCUUGGUCAUUGUCAAUGGGUGGAUUUUGGAGAAAUAGAAGGAAAUGAAAUUGAGGCUCGAAUGGAAAAAGAUGCAGAUCUUAUUGUAAUCCUUGAAAGGAGUAUAGGAAUAUCUACUUAUCAAGAUGGAACUCUUCUAUGUUGAGGAAAGAAAUGUCAAUAUCAAAUGAGCUGCAAGAGUUUUGUGUGCGUGAAUGCUCAUGCUACAAACAGAGGAAGCACACAAAGGAUAAAAAGGAUUUUGAAUACCCAAAAUGCGCAUCUUUGAAAUUGAUCUUAUUGAUGGCACUGCUUCGGCCACAACAUCCAUUUCUGCUGUAUUGGGAGAAAAAUUAUUCUCCGUGACAGCAGAAAACAUAUUCGGCAUAACUUGCAUUAAGAAGCAAUUGUUGCAUGUUAACCAUGUCCAUAAGAUGUUGUCGAGUCAAAUUCAACUUCGUUAGUUCUUUCCUACGUGCAAAAGGAACAGACUCUUCCGCCAGCACUACUGAGAGGGAUUCCAGAAAGAUCAAGCCUCUAGGAAUCAGUGAGGUGAGAAGCAGGAAACAACUACUGCAUCUGGUUUCUCACAUGAGAAGCUGAAAUUUGAACCAUCCACACUAACAAAAAAGGUGUAAAAGAAGAUAAUUUUUUGGAUUCUCAGUUGGUACAAGUUUGUUCAGUAGGGAGAAGGAAGUAAAUCAGCUAUUUAGCUUUUUGGGUCACCUCAGUGUUCUAGCUUUCCAGGUUCCUCAAUAGCUCCCGAUGCUAUGGUUUUUUGAAUGCAGAAGAUUAGCUACUAAAAAUUGAACUCUGACUCAGCAUUUUACAUCUGCUAAAUUACAAAAUAGUCAUGUUAUAUGUCAAAACUAAAACAUCUGCUAUAUCUUUUGGAUGUAUACCAUUAGUUCAUGUUUGCAGAUUGCUUAAGUAGACACCAUACUGCAUCAGUUGUACAUAUUUUGAAUAUUUCUAAUAGUAUGAUAUUAACCAUUUUUUGCCGUA